AACGCUGGCGGCAUGCCUUACACAUGCAAGUCGAACGGCAGCAUGGAAGAGCUUGCUCUUCUGAUGGCGAGUGGCGAACGGGUGAGUAAAGCAUCGGAACGUACCGUGUAGUGGGGGAUAACGUAGCGAAAGUUACGCUAAUACCGCAUACGCACUGAGGUGGAAAGCAGGGGAUCGCAAGACCUUGCGCUAUACGAGCGGCCGAUGUCAGAUUAGCUAGUUGGUAGGGUAAAGGCCUACCAAGGCGACGAUCUGUAGCGGGUCUGAGGGGAUGAUCCGCCACACUGGGACUGAGACACGGCCCAGACUCCUACGGGAGGCAGCAGUGGGGAAUUUUGGACAAUGGGCGAAAGCCUGAUCCAGCCAUGCCGCGUGAGUGAAGAAGGCCUUCGGGUUGUAAAGCUCUUUCGGCUGGGAAGAAAUCGCACAGGCUAAUACUCUGUGUGGAUGACGGUACCAGCACAAGAAGCACCGGCUAACUACGUG
rnacentral:rRNA from 1 species